rnacentral:rRNA from 1 species
GACGUAGGGUGCAAGCGUUGUCCGGAUUUAUUGGGCGUAAAGAGCUCGUAGGCGGCUUGUUGCGUCGACUGUGAAACCCCGCGGCUUAACCGCGGGCUUGCAGUUGAUACGGGCAGGCUAGAGUUCGGUAGGGGAGACUGGAAUUCCUGGUGUAGCGGUGAAAUGCGCAGAUAUCAGGAGGAACACCGGUGGCGAAGGCGGGUCUCUGGGCCGAUACUGACGCUGAGGAGCGAAAGCGUGGGGAGCGAACAGG